CAUGAAUUUCCAGCUUUCACAAGAGGCCACCUCCGAAUCAUGAAUAUCUUCCCGCCAGGCAGAUUUGGAAGGCGAUUGACUCUCCAGUUUGGGUCAUGGAUGUGGAUCCUGCCUUGGGAAUCCCCGGAUUCAACUCCCUCAUCCCAACUCAAAAGGGCUGAUUCUGUUUCUAACCUGUCAGUCAAUUUGGUUCAUCAGAAUCGUCUCUCUGGCCAGCUGACCUGGGAGCCAACGAAGCCAUUGAAAACUCAUGUCUUUCACGGUUUGAUGUCACGGCCUCCGCGUGGACAUCUCUCUGCUUGGGUACAGGAAGCGGACAGCGUCUGUUCCUGUGUCCUCCUCAAUGGAAAUAAAUUCAGCCUCAGGCGGGCCGAAGCCCAGGAACAAAUUGAGUCCUCAGAAGACCGCAUUAUCUGCUUUGCAAACAGCCCAGGUAUGGAGCUUGCAUUCCUUCCCACCACAGGAGCCACAUUUGAGCAAUUCUCCCUGCCACGUUUCCCACGAUGCUUGAAUGGUCCUUAUUUAAGUAUUGAAUCAGCAGCGGGCUGGAUGCUUGACAGCAGCGGGCUGUGAAGGGUGGUCACCUUGAUGCCCUGCACCUGCUGCAAUGGGUGAAGAUUGAAGGAGACACUUAGAAAGUGACUGGCCCCAUAGAAGGCACUUGUGGCAGCUGUGAAAAUGAGCCACUCACGGUUGGCGAUGACCCCAUUUGCUACCCUUUUGGAUCCACCAGUGAGUUUGCACAGAGCCACAAUUGCCAUGGGCUGCUCCCAGGCAGCGACUGAGGUGUGACGGGGUACUAAGACAGGCUCAUUCCUGAGGGAGGUGGGAUUCCUAUGACAGAGAGCACUGGCUUGAGGACUCCCCAUGGGCUUGGCUGGAACUUUCUUAGAACGGUGCUGCAGUGAGAGACUCUGCCUAUCCACUCCUCCUUUCCUCCCUCCCUCCUUCACAG
rnacentral:lncRNA from 1 species